GUUUCAUCGGUGCUCUAGUCUUUGACGAUGUGACCCUCCUGGAGAAGACUGCAGAUGACAGUCGAAACAUGUCAGCGGCGGCCGUAUGCAAAGAAAUGCAAAUGCGGGGUAAAAUGACUCGGAGUCUACGUCCCAAGCGAGUUUCACAAACUCCUCAGCAAAUUUCCCAAAAUGUCACCGUGGAUUUAUUGAGUCUGUUUAGCUGAUUGGAGAGCGAGCUUCUGCAGCUAGUGGGUCCAUGACGAUGACUUCUGUUUUGUUUGAUCAGCCGUUUUACUGCCGUGCUACAGACACCGUUUGGAAACAAUUAAGAAUGGUGCGACCCUCCCGCCAGUGAGAGCCCUGAUCUCCCUUCAAGGUCCACAGCAAGGUCUCUUCCAGGUCACUGUCCCUCAGCAGGACCCUCAGGCUGCCCAGGGCUUCCCCUUGCAGCUGGUAGUAGAAGACCAGGCACAGCGGCCCUUGCUCAGGGGCCACUUCGGGGCUCAGGAGCCUGGCGCGCUUGCGCAGGGUGUGAGACCCCGCGUCCAAAUGCAGGACUUUUAUCGCGAGGAGUACGUCUUUGUACUGGAUAUUUGUGAUGUUUCACAAAUUCCUCAGUAAAUUCACCAAAACGUCACCGUGGAGUUAUUGAGUCUGUUUAGCUGAUUGACAGCUCGUGGGUCCAUGACGACGACUUCUAUUUUGUUUCAUCGUUCGUUUUACUGCCGUGUUACAGACACCGUUUGGAAACAAACAAGGGCUCACAGAGGGUCUUACCACUUUUACAUCCAACGGGCGGAGCAUGAAUAUUUCACUAAGAAUGGCGAGUGAGGAAGAAGAAGAUGACCAAGGAAAUCCAAUAAAACGCACCUGGUAUUGAAUAUUAGAAAACGACAGUUUCCAUGCAAGUAGGCUACUUGCCAGACAGACCUGUGUCUGUCAUGUUCUAUUCAUCACAUGUGUGUGUGUG